AGGGAUGUAGCUCAGUGGCAGAGCACAUCCAUGUUUACAUGCAAAAGGUCCCAGAUUCAAUCCAUGGCAUCUCCA